CCUACGGGUGGCAGCAGUGGGGAAUAUUGCGCAAUGGGCGAAAGCCUGACGCAGCGACGCCGCGUGAGGGAUGAAGGUCUUCGGAUCGUAAACCUCUGUCAGCAGGGAAGAACGGUCACUGUGCUAAUCAGCAGUGAAUUGACGGUACCUGCAAAGGAAGCACCGGCUAACUCCGUGCCAGCAGCCGCGGUAAUACGGAGGGUGCGAGCGUUAAUCGGAAUUACUGGGCGUAAAGCGCUCGUAGGCGGUAUGUCAAGUCAAGGGUGAAAGCCCCGGGCUCAACGUGGGAACUGCCUUUGAUACUGGCAAACUGGAGUGUGUGAGAGGAUAGUGGAAUUCCAGGUGUAGGAGUGAAAUCCGUAGAUAUCUGGAGGAACACCGAUGGCGAAGGCGACUAUCUGGCACAUAACUGACGCUGAUGAGCGAAAGCGUGGGUAGCAAACAGGAUUAGAUACCCCAGUAGUC
rnacentral:rRNA from 1 species